UACGAAGGGUGCAAGCGUUACUCGGAAUUACUGGGCGUAAAGCGUGCGUAGGUGGUUUGUUAAGUCUGUUGUGAAAGCCCCGGGCUCAACCCGGGAAGUGCACUCGAUACUGCCACGCUAGAGUAUCGGAGAGGUUGGUGGAAUUCUCGGUGUAGAGGUGAAAUUCGUAGAUAUCGAGAGGAACACCGGUGGCGAAGGCGGCGAUCUGGGUCGAUACUGACGCUGGAGGUGCGAAAGCCGUGGGGAGCAAACAGG
rnacentral:rRNA from 1 species